UGGGGGAUAUUGCACAAUGGGCGAAAGCCUGAUGCAGCGACGCCGCGUGGGGGAUGAAGGCCUUCGGGUUGUAAACUUCUUUUGCUCUGAACAAGGCGCACCAUGGGGUGUGUUGAGUGUAGGGGUUGAUUAGCGCCGGCUAACUACGUGCCAGCAGCCGCGGUAAUACGUAGGGCGCGAGCGUUGUCCGGAAUUAUUGGGCGUAAAGGGCUUGUAGGUGGCUGGUUGCGUCUGUCGUGAAAGCUCAUGGCUUAACUGUGGGUUUGCGGUGGGUACGGGCGGGCUUGAGUGCAGUAGGGGAGGCUGGAAUUCCUGGUGUAGCGGUGGAAUGCGCAGGUAUCAGGAGGAAUACCGGUGGCGAAGGCGGGUCUCUGGGCUGUUACUGGCACUGAGGAGCGAAAGCAUGGGGAGCGAACAGG
rnacentral:rRNA from 1 species